rnacentral:tRNA from 1 species
UAGAUUGAAGUUUAGAGGUAGAGCAGUUGGCCGUUAACCAAAAAGAAGUAGGAUCAAUACCUGCCAAUCUAA